UCUACGGGAGGCAGCAGUGGGGAAUCUUGCACAAUGGGGGAAACCCUGAUGCAGCGACGCCGCGUGAGCGAUGAAGCCCUUCGGGGUGUAAAGCUCUUUCGGCAGGGAAGAUUAUGACGGUACCUGCAGAAGCAGCUGCGGCUAACUACGUGCCAGCAGCCGCGGUAAUACGUAGGCAGCAAGCGUUGUUCGGAGUUACUGGGCGUAAAGGGUGUGUAGGCGGUUGCUUAAGUUUGGUGUGAAAUCUCCCGGCUUAACUGGGAGGGUGCGCCGAAUACUGAGUGACUCGAGUGCGGGAGAGGGAAGUGGAAUUCCUGGUGUAGCGGUGAAAUGCGUAGAUAUCAGGAGGAACACCGGUGGUGUAGACGGCUUUCUGGACCGUAACUGACGCUGAAACACGAAAGCGUGGGUAGCAAACAGGAUUAGAUACCCUGGUAGUCCACGCCCUAAACGAUGCAUAUUUGGUGUGGGCAGUUCAUUCUGUCCGUGCCGGAGCUAACGCGUUAAAUAUGCCGCCUGGGGAGUACAGUCGCAAGGCUGAAACUCAAAUGAAUUGACGGA
rnacentral:rRNA from 1 species